AUAACGACUCUCGGCAACGGAUAUCUCGGCUCUCGCAUCGAUGAAGAACGUAGCGAAAUGCGAUACUUGGUGUGAAUUGCAGAAUCCCGUGAACCAUCGAGUCUUUGAACGCAAGUUGCGCCCAAAGCCAUCAGGUUGAGGGCACGUCUGCCUGGGCGUCACGC
rnacentral:rRNA from 3 species